AGAUGAUGAACCAAUAGAGAAAUUUUUUGAAUCAUUCGGCAAAAAAUAAUUUAUCAAUCUGCUAUAGGAUGCAAUAAAUACUUAUUGGGUUGUUGCCGAUGAGAACCUCAUGCACUAGAAGAUUUUUGUGCAUUGCCUUAGCUAGAUUUAUAUUAGAGGCAAAUUAUAAUUCAGUCUUUUUUAAUAUAUUUUUAAAAGUUAAAAGGCUUAUUUGUCUUCAAAAUAGUAAGAUGACUUAAUGACUUAUUUGAUUUUCUUUUUUUUAAUUUGAAAGGCUUGUUUAGAUCCCGAAACACUUUAAAGACUUAUAUGACUAUUGACUCGUACUUUAAGGGCCAAGAUAGGCCUUUUGCUUUUUUAAUUUUAAGAAUCUCUACAACAUAAAAAGGGCAUUAUAAUUAUCUUGAAUAAUAAAUAUAGGCCAAAAACCUUUUGAGAAUUGACAAUAUCGACACCCUAUAAAUUAUGCAUUGAUGAGGGGUAAGUGGAUGAAACCCAUUCCCCCAUCUAAUGGUAACAGAAGGAGAUUUCUUUUCACCAAUUACCAAUAUAACAUUAAGAAAAAGAAAUCUCAUUCUUUUUAGCUAAACCAAAAAGAUAAAACAGAAAUCUCAUAUUUUUAGCUGGACCAAACACUUCCUAGAUGUAUUAUUAAAUCUGGUUCUGUGAUCAGUUGCAUGUGAGAGACGCUUGUUAAAAGUAUUAAUGAACUACUGUCUAUUUGAUAGGUUUAACUUGUAAACAGCAAUCAUUAUCCUGUGUAAUCCAAUCCACUUCCAAGACUGGAUUGUGGUCUGAAUUUUUUUUUUCUUUAAAUGUUAAAGAUGAGAAUUUGUUUGGGAAUCAAAUGCCCCAGUACAAAAAUGUGAUAGUUUAGUAGAGGAAGAAGGGAGAAGGGGAAGGGGAGAUCUAAAAUGACGUGCAGAGUAGUAUUAAAGGAUAUACAAGUUUUAGAUAUUGAAGCGGACCUGGUGUCUAAUAGAGCUAAAUAGUGAAAAAUGAUCUAUGUAGCCGACCUCAAUUAGUUUAGAAUUAAAGUUUUGUUCUUAUUGUUGUUGUUGUUGUUAUUGUUAUUAAUUACAAUGCCCAUGGGU
rnacentral:misc_RNA from 1 species